ensembl:lncRNA
GGAAACUGGAGAAUAAUAAUAAUAACUAGAAAGCGAAAAUUUCAGAAGAAAUUUUAUGUGUGCCUAUGCCGCUGCUAAUCAGUGUAGUUUGCCAUUCAUACGGCUACAGAGAGCAAAACUCAGCAGAGCAGCCAUUCUCCACCAUGAAUUAUGAUAAAAACAAACACCGCUCGCGCCUCACAGAUGACAGCUUACAGUUUUGGGUAAAGAUGAGGUGACUUCGUACAGCCCCGAUUUGCAGACGCUGUGCACAGAGGUUCAUGAGCAGAAGUCCCAUUGUAUCACGGCAGACCCCGACAAUGUUUGCAUGAACAUGCUUUGAAGCAUUACGUUAUGGACCACUUUUCACACAUGGUUGGUGUACCGACACAGGCAGCCGUAGCUUUUCAACUCAUAGCCCAACACACACCCAAAAAACAGCCAAGAGAGCACAGACUUUACACCCGUGGGUCCACCUCCCCUGCAGCGGCACUGCAGACCACGCCCCGACACACACAUCAAACACAUAAAAUAAAUAUGUAUGCACUUUCGCAUUCACUUUUUGUUUUUUGUUAUUUUUACACAGUGUUCUGAAUGAUGAACAAUGGUCUACAGCCAAUCUUGUGUAUUAUUAUACAAACUUUGGUUGUAAGAUUCAGAUAAGCAUUUAAUAAAUGCUAAAUAUUUUAUAUGAGAGUAAGAAAGAAAAGUAUAUCUUUAUGUCCACCUUUCUCUGUUAAUGCCCUACCUGGCCCCCUGACAAAAGCUUUGCUAGAUCCGCCCCUGCACAGUUACCAGCUGUCAGCUACACAAAAAAAGGAGCUUGGUGUUUACAGGGAGUACAGAAUUAUUAGGCAAAUGAGUACUUUGUCCACAUCAUCCUCUUCAUGCAUGUUGUCUUACUCCAAGCUGUAUAGGCUCGAAAGCCGCCUACCAAUUAAGCAUAUUAGGUGAUGUGCAUCUCUGUAAUGAGAAGGGGUGUGGUCUAAUGACAUCAACACCCUAUAUCAGGUGUGCAUAAUUAUUAGGCAACCUCCUUUCCUUUGGCAAAAUGGGUCAAAAGAAGGACUUGACAGGCUCAGAAAAGUCAAAAAUAGUGAGAUAUCUUGCAG